rnacentral:rRNA from 1 species
GGGUGACAGGUGGUGCAUGGUUGUCGUCAGCUCGUGUCGUGAGAUGUUGGGUUAAGUCCCGCAACGAGCGCAACCCUCGCCUCUAGUUGCCAGCAUUCGGUUGGGCACUCUAGAGGGACUGCCGGCGACAAGUCGGAGGAAGGUGGGGAUGACGUCAAAUCAUCAUGCCCCUUAUGACCUGGGCUACACACGUGCUACAAUGGGCGGUACAAAGGGCUGCGAACCCGCGAGGGGGAGCGAAUCCCAAAAAGCCGCUCUCAGUUCGGAUUGCAGGCUGCAACUCGCCUGCAUGAAGCCGGAAUCGCUAGUAAUCGCGGAUCAGCAUGCCGCGGUGAAUACGUUCCCGGGCCUU